rnacentral:rRNA from 1 species
AACGAACGCUGGCGGCAUGCCUAACACAUGCAAGUCGAACGAGACCUUCGGGUCUAGUGGCGCACGGGUGCGUAACGCGUGGGAACCUGCCCUUAGGUUCGGAAUAACUCCCCGAAAGGGGUGCUAAUACCGGAUAAUGUCUUCGGACCAAAGAUUUAUCGCCUUUGGAUGGGCCCGCGUUGGAUUAGCUAGUUGGUAGGGUAAAAGCCUACCAAGGCGACGAUCCAUAGCUGGUCUGAGAGGAUGAUCAGCCACACUGGGACUGAGACACGGCCCAGACUCCUACGGGAGGCAGCAGUGGUGAAUAUUGGACAAUGGGCGAAAGCCUGAUCCAGCAAUGCCGCGUGAGUGAUGAAGGCCUUAGGGUUGGAAAGCUCUUGUACCCGGGAUGAUAAUGACAGUACCGGGAGAAUAAGCACCGGCUAACUCCGUG